ACAUCGCUACCGAAUCUCACUCCAGCCGUCCGUUCUCACAGUCCGACAGAGCGGUCCGUCCCAUGCCUCCCCACGCACGAACGCGGCAAUCGCGCCCGCAGCCUCCCGUACUUCCCAAAAUCCCAAGUUCCCGGCUCUCUCCCCGAAUCCCCGAUCCCAUCUCCUUCUCCCCGAUCCCAUCCCCGAGCCGCCGCCACUCCAUCGUGCCCGCAGCCCCCUCUCCUCCGCCGUCACGCCGUCCCCGCCUCCGCUCUGCCCCUGUCCCUGCUCUCCUCCGCCCCCGCCUCCCCUAUGCUCCUUCGGCGAUGGCCGACGGUGAAUCGGAUACGGAUCGGCGCUGCUGCGCGAGAUAACGGUGGAGGGGGGCUUCGCCUUCGUGGCAUCGGCGGAGAAGGAGGCAGCGGGCGACCUCCGGGCGGAGGAGGCGUCACGGGAUAUGGCGUGGGAGCAGCUACACUCGCGGUCUUGCAGUGAGGUUGGCCACGCGUGGAGUGACGCCUACGCGCUGGCGUGCCUCCACAUCGCUCGGCUCCGCCGGCUGCCGCCGACCGCGCCCCCUGCGCUCGGGGCGCUCGACAUGGACGUCAUCCAUCUGCCCACAUAGAGCCGCCGUCCACCGCGCCGACGCCGCCCUCCUCCCCCGCAGCCGAUGCCGGCGCCCUCCACCGCGGACGACGACACCGCGCUCCCCCACGGAAGCCGCCGCCACCGCCCUCCACCACGGACGCCGCGGGAUAAGGAGAUGGUGGCGGCAUCGGGAUCCAGGCGGCCGGCGCGUGCGUCCGCCCCCCGCUACGUCCGCCGGCACCGCCGUAAUUUGCACGUCAGCCGCCACCGCGCAGCGGCGAUCCGCGCAACGCGCAUCCUCAGCCGCCGUCGGACCGCCGCCGCGCGUCCUCCCGCUGGCGCUGAUAAUGAUCGACUGCAAUCGGCUGCAAAAAGAGCUCGCCGAGUGGCAGGUCGGCCCUCCCACUGGGUUCAAGUACAAGAUUUUUUUUGGAGUUUUGGGGGUUCCUACUGAUUGAUAAUGGAGCUUGUGGAGCUUGUGAUGAUUAAGUAAACUGGUGGGUGAUCUAGGUGGGCGGAGCGGCCGGUCGAUUUCCCCGAGUUAACCCAUGGAGGCACCUCAGGUCAUUUUCUUCAACCCAGCGCCGAUGCAUGAAUGCAUCCACCCAUUAAUUCGAUGGGAUUAAUCUGAUGGUUUGUGAAGGCAAAGUUUGAUCCAUUCAGCUGAUCGAUGAAAGAGGUGUGGCUGGAUGGAGGAGGUAUCCUGUGAAGAGUUCGGUACAGGAGACGGCACAUCUUGAUGAUAUUUUUCGGGACAUUCAGGACAAUUAUGCCAAAUCGACUACAAUGAAUUUGUAACGAUAUAUGAUGCAUAAUGGAAAUAAUCCACUAGGACAAAAGGGACGGGCGCAGAUGAGCUUUGGUCUUAGGGAAGCAUUGAAGCUUGGCUAAUGUUAACUGGUGUGCACUAUCUUCCCACUUUUCUCUCUUCGUGCUAGAUGCUUUAUGUGGUUAUCUUCUCUCUUAACAUCCAUUGUUUGCUGUUGGUGGCAUGGUCAUUUGAUGCCCUAAUGAUAGCAAUGCUCGAUGGACCCUCAACCAAUAUAUUUACUUUGAAUGUAAAUAAGUGCAAAAAUCUGGCACCUUUCUUGCCUGCACUUAUAAUCAAUCAGAGUAUUAAACCAACUGAAGAUUGGUUCAGGUUAAGAUCUGAAGUAGUCACUAUAUUAGCUAUUGUACUGUAGCAUAACUCUGAAAAUAUAAUAAGGGUAUCUACAUGGGAGUACAGAUUUUAGAAUUGCUGGGUAAAUAAAAAGAAGGGGGUUUCCCUCUGCAUGUCAUGAGUUCAGUUGACUCAGUGAUGUAUGUAAGGUCUAAUUUUUUUAGCCAAAUUCACAAGAAGGACAAACCAAAACAAAGCCUCGUUAGAACCGGAGAACAUGACCGAGGAUGCGUGAGACAAAGUACCAAUGAUGAAAUCAUGGUCCACAUAUGGGGAUACAGGGAUUAGAAAAGGAGAAAAAAAACAUACGUUAGAAACAUUUAUUGAGAUGAGGCUAGCCAAGGCAUACAUGGUUAGCCGUAGCAACGCACAGGUUCCUAACUAGAGAUUUCAUCACCAUGUAGGCCUUUCUAAUUUUAUGUUUCACUUAUAAAGCAACAUGCCGGCAUCUUGACAUGCUAAGUUCUUCUCUACUUUUCCUUCCUGGAAUUCUUCAACUAUAAUUUGUUUUGUCUUAUCUAACUGGAGUCGAAUACUUUACUGCAGAAAAAAAGGAGAAAAAGUGGAAUUCUUCAACUAUAAUUUGUUUCCUCCAAACAUUUGUGUAGUAUUUCCCCUUCUCUUAUAAUUUGACAAUCUUUUCAUUGGCCUAUGUUUGAAUCUGACUUGUGCUAACAGAAAUGUACUACUCCGUAUGUACUUUCAUGUUUGAAAUAUGAGGUUGCUCUUUUUGAAACAA